AGCUUGAUGCAGUGGCAGUAUUGUAGCCAAUGAGGUUUAUCCAAGGCAUGAUUUUGCCAAUUGAAACUAAAAUCCACAGUUGAUAUUAGGGUUCACUCUGUGUUGUACAGUUCUAUUGGUUUUGACAAAU
rnacentral:snRNA from 1 species